UACGGAGGGGGUUAGCGUUGUUCGGAAUGACUGGGCGUAAAGCGCGCGUAGGCGGCUUUGUAAGUUAGAGGUGAAAGCCCGGGGCUCAACCCCGGAAUUGCCUUUAAGACUGCAUCGCUUGAAUCCGGGAGAGGUGAGUGGAAUUCCGAGUGUAGAGGUGAAAUUCGUAGAUAUUCGGAAGAACACCAGUGGCGAAGGCGGCUCACUGGACCGGCAUUGACGCUGAGGUGCGAAAGCGUGGGGAGCAAACAGG
rnacentral:rRNA from 1 species